rnacentral:rRNA from 1 species
UAUUGCACAAUGGGGGAAACCCUGAUGCAGCGACGCCGCGUGAGUGAGGAAGUAUUUCGGUANGUAAAGCUCUAUCAGCAGGGAANNCCNNNANGGUACCUGACUAAGAAGCCCCGGCUAAUUACGUGCCNNNAGCCGCGGUAAUACGUAGGGGGCAAGCGUUAUCCGGAUUUACUGGGUGUAAAGGGAGCGUAGACGGAAUUGCAAGUCUGAUGUGAAAAUCCGGGGCCCAACCCCGGAACUGCAUUGGAAACUGUAUUUCUAGAGUGUCGGAGAGGCAAGUGGAAUUCCUGGUGUAGCGGUGAAAUGCGUAGAUAUCAGGAGGAACACCAGUGGCGAAGGCGGCUUACUGGACUGUAACUGACGUUGAGGCUCGAAAGCGUGGGGAGCAAACAG